rnacentral:rRNA from 1 species
UAGGGAAUCUUCGGCAAUGGACGAAAGUCUGACCGAGCAACGCCGCGUGAGUGAAGAAGGCUUUCGGAUCGUAAAACUCCGUUGUUAGAGAAGAACAAGGACGUUAGUAACUGAACGUCCCCUGACGGUAUCUAACCAGAAAGCCACGGCUAACUACGUGCCAGCAGCCGCGGUAAUACGUAGGUGGCAAGCGUUGUCCGGAUUUAUUGGGCGUAAAGCGAGCGCAGGCGGUUUCUUAAGUCUGAUGUGAAAGCCCCCGGCUCAACCGGGGAGGGUCAUUGGAAACUGGGAGGCUUGAGUGCAGAAGAGGAGAGUGGAAUUCCAUGUGUAGCGGUGAAAUGCGUAGAUAUAUGGAGGAACACCAGUGGCGAAGGCGGCUCUCUGGUCUGUAACUGACGCUGAGGCUCGAAAGCGUGGGGAGCAAACAGG